UGGGCAUAGCGCAUGUAGCCCUCCGGACCUCGCUCUUUUCUAUCUCCUCUUUUUUUCCGGUGCACGCUCUCUUCCAGGUUUGGGACCCUCUCGCUGGACGAGAUUCCCAGGCUCGCGUUCAGUUCACAACAGGAAUCUGCUGAAGUAUUACCUGAGAAAAUAAAGACAAAUGAAGAAAAGAAAUACCUGAAACAGCUGAUGAAAGCCAACCAGUUUCUCCAGAAGUUCGCUGUCCCCCAGUAUGCCCAGGCUGUUCCUCUUGCAGUCUAUCAACCUGUGGAAUCACAUUCAGGAAAACACCUACCCAUAUAUUCUAAUUUGGAGGAACUUGUAAGAUUCUUGAAUUAACUGCUGCAAUGUGAGCUUGGGUAUGACUAGAAAAAAAUUAUUCCUUUAUAAUUUCUUCGUCUAUCACAUCACCUCCUACUACCAAUAUAUUUUGGCAUGCUUCAUGAAAAGUCAAGAGUAUUGAGCCAAAAGAAGAUUGUGGAAUAUUUCCCAUAUUGGUUAUAAUCUUUUUAGUUUGUGUUAGAUAUGCCAGAUCUGGAUUGUGGCAUCAAAUUUACUGUACUGAUGAUUAAAUAAGGUCUUUUCUCCAUUAUCUUUGAGCUAUAGAACUGUAUAUCACUUGCCAAAACAUUAAAA